rnacentral:rRNA from 1 species
AAAGCUCGUAGUCGAAUCUGUGUCCCGCGCCGCCGGUUCAUCGUUCGCGGUGUUAACUGGCGUGCCGCGGGACGUCCUGCCGGUGGGCUUAGCUCGCAAGAGGGCCCAACUCAAUCCCGCCGCGGUGCUCUUCACUGAGUGUCGAGGUGGGCCGGCACGUUUACUUUGAACAAAUUAGAGUGCUUAAAGCAGGCUAGAAUUUCGCCUGAAUACUGUGUGCAUGGAAUAAUGGAAUAGGACCUCGGUUCUAUUUUGUUGGUUUUCGGAACCCCGAGGUAAUGAUUAAUAGGAACGGAUGGGGGCAUUCGUAUUGCGACGUUAGAGGUGAAAUUCUUGGAUCGUCGCAAGACGGACAGAAGCGAAAGCAUUUGCCAAAAACGCUUUCAUUGAUCAAGAACGAAAGUUAGAGGUUCGAAGGCGAUCAGAUACCGCCCUAGUUCUAACCAUAAACGAUGCCAGCUAGCGAUCCGCCGACGUUCCUCCGAUGACUCGGCGGGCAGCUUCCGGGAAACCAAAGCUUUUGGGUUCCGGGGGAAGUAUGGUUGCAAAGCUGAAACU